UGCACUCCAGCCUGAGCAAGAGGGUGAGACCCUGUCUCAAGAAACAAGCAAACAAAAAUAACCUAUUCCACUUUGACCCUGAAUAGGGAAAACUGACCAAACAAGGAGAGUAGCCAGAGGCAGGGAUGGAAGCAUAGGAGAAACUGGCAGUGGACAAGCUCCUUUGGAAUAAUCCACCAAGAGAGGAAAUGAAACAGAAUGCCUGAAUGAAUUAUGAAAGCAGAACAAAGUCUGAAAGAAUAAUCAGGGCUUGAGAUCUAGAAAGGAUCAAUGAGAUUUGUGGGAACAGACUUUCAGGGGAAACACAGAGGGCUAAGCGGCCUGAGAAACAGCUCAACUCUUGACCUUCCUCUUCCUGACACAUAGCAAGCUCAAGUGUAAAAGUUCUUGGUUCCUGGGGGAUCCCGAAAUGGCAGAGGUGGCUGUAUCUAUGCACCUUAUUCAACAAGUUGGUAAAAGUCCACUUAAGGCUGAUCACCAAGAGCUGCCUGCUUAGAAACAGGAGGAAGCUAGAUACCUAAAAUACUCCCAGCACGUCCUGGGAGAUGACACCCUAAGCUCUCACCUGGGAAAGGAAAAGGAUGAGAGACCCAGGUGACUGCAGGUUCACCUUGCUGGGGAACAAGGUUUUCUCACCUUCAUUUCCAGUGCGGGAGGGAAACCAGAAUAGCAAAAGAUCAAGAAAACUGAACAAAAACUAGAAGAGAAAUUGGUGGAGGGAUGACAGAGGUUGAAAUGGGAAGGCACCAAGCAGAAUCAGGUAUCCUCUACAGAGCAGAGAAUUGCCCUGAGCACAGAAUGCUAUAUCAUUUUCUCAAAGUCACAGAGCUGGGAAUUGCCAACAGUGGGACUGGGAUCCAGAUCUGCUCCCCUCAUUACUUAUUCUCCCUGGAUUUCUCUUCAGAGUGGAGCAAUGCCCUGGCAUUCAACUCGUCUGUGAUAUGACAGUCCUCACACUCUGUGUAGUGACCUACUAUGAGUGGUACCUGGGCGCUGCCUGCCUAGAAUUCAUCCCUCCUUCUUCUGGGUGGUUAGGAAGGUAGAAGGUAAUCCUGGAGCUUCCCGCCACCACGCAGGAGGAAUUUGCCUGAGAGCAAAGCCAGCAUAGAGAAGCAGAGCUGAGUCAUGGAGACAGGUGGCUGAAAGUUUCAUUUCGGCAUAUGGAUCUCACCAUUCCUGAAGCCACUUUCAACUCUUCAAUUUCAUAGCUAAUAAAUUCUCAUUUUUGCACAA
rnacentral:lncRNA from 1 species